rnacentral:rRNA from 1 species
AAGCGAAGCAGUGAUGUGAAGCAAAUCGCNCCAAAGCCGGUCCCAGUUCGGAUAAGAGGCUGAAACUCGCCUCUUUGAAGUCGGAAUCGCUAGUAAUCGCAGAUCAGCAUGUUGCGGUGAAUACGUUCCCGGGUCUUGUACACACCGCCCGUCAAACCAUGAGAGUCACCAACACCCGAAGUCCGCUUUGGCGGCCUAAGGUGGGGGAGAUGAUUGGGGUUAAGUCGUAACAAGGUAUC